rnacentral:piRNA from 1 species
UGAAUCAAGUGAGGCACUGCUUAUUAAAGUU